GUGUGUGUGUGUGUGUGUGUGUGUGUGUGUGUGUGUGUGUGUGUGUGAGCACAAAAGAGAGAGAGAGUAUAUAAGGCAAGGCUCUGCAGUAUUUCCGAACUGGUGCAGUGCAAACGGCCCGUUCAUCAUCACCGAUGGUGUGCAGAACAAGGGGGACUUAAAACACAGAAACAACCCAAAAAUCAUCAUCUUCAUCAACCAGCCAAACCUCUGUCAGUACACGAUCCGUGACUGGCUGUAAAUCCAUACUGCGCAUGCGCAUAAUGACGAAAUAGGAAACGUAACGAUUCUUCUGUGAAAUGUGUACCGCGCAUGUCUUGAUCGCUUGACGGCCAACAAACGGUACGACAUAUCUUUAUAAGCUGCACGUUAUUAAUAAAUAAUAAUUUAUUAUUCAGUUCACGGCGAGUCUGUUUCGAAGGAUAUUUAAAUUGAAAGGCUUAGCCUAUUUUUACCAGUAUGAAGCCGGUUUUCAACGGUUGCAGCAAACGGCAAGCAUGCAGUUCAAGUCAUCACUGGAGUGACCUGUGCAUAACUUUGGAUGAAGUAUCUCAAGUCACAUGCCAAGUCACAUAAGGAAGAUAUUGACCUUUAGACAACAUAUCAAUCAGCUCCCUACUCGCAGCUGAAGGUAGCUUACCUGUACUCCCCCCUGCGCUAAGCUGAGGGAGAACAGCAGUGGCACAAACCUAGGACUUUGGAGCACACUCUACAAAGGCCUCAGUGGGGAUCUACCUGAUCUUUCUGUGCUUCAGGUGGCUGAGGCAUAUGCCGACUUCUCCAGAGCAGAGUUGCCAAUGUACAGCUUAGCACAGGGGGGGCUACAGGCACCUUCAGCUGCGAGUAGGGAGCUGACUGAUACAAAAGAGCAACACAGUGGUUGCAGCACAGCUCCAUGGUGAUCAUAGCCUGAUGGCAAUUCAAUUUGUGUGGUCCACUUUCACAUUGAAACAGAGACUACAAAAUGCAACUGUCCACUAGGAGGUGCUCAUUCAUCAUCACAGAAAACCAGGCAUAGGAGCCAACAGUGUAAACACGAGCAAAUCUGAAUUUCUCUUCAUCACAACGGGCACGUAUAUAUAUAUCUAAAGAUCCCAUUCCAAAGAGCAAAAUGGAUCAA